rnacentral:sRNA from 1 species
UAUCCGUAUAUUCCUAAAAUAAACCGCAGUGAUUAGCGGGUUAACCGUGUUUUUCAGAUUAAACUCAUGACGAGAAUUUGAGUUAACUAACAGACAUCAGGAAUUAUCCGAUAAAAAAAUGCCGGCAUAUCGCCGGCAUUG